UUUCUGAUUAAGUAAUUAACGAUUGAUUAUUCAAAGAAAAAAAUAUUAAUAUUUUAUGUGUGAUUUCUGUUUAAUCCAGCCUUAUUCCUAAUAGGAAAAUAAUAUUUUUUGGUUAGCUUUUAUAUGUAAAGAUAUCAGCUGCCUUUAAAAUUUAGGAAAUGUUUAAAAGUCAGCUAUCAGGCUAACAUUUUCUGAAAACCUCAGUGCUGUUAACUCUUUGCACUCGAGGCUGUUUCCGCGCGGACCAACCAGCAACGCGAAACGUUUCGUAGCGCUUUUGGUGAAUUUCUUACCUCUAACUUAAAAUGAUUACACACAUAAAGUGACACAUAAAACUUUUAUAUUUUAAAAUGUAAUGUAUCUUGACAUUUUUACGAAGAUACUUUCUUAAACAUUAGUCUUUGUCUGAUAUUUAAUGUAACAAUCGAAUUUUCGCACCAUACAAAGGGGUGAGAGCGAGACUUAGCUCUCGACUUGCGGCACUAAAUCAUGUGGUGAGCGAGACUCAGCUCUCGAAUUGCGGCACUAAAUUGUGUGGUGAACGAGACUCAGCUCCCGAGUUGUGGUAUUAAAUUGUGUGGUGAGCGAGACUCAGCUCCCGAGUUGCGGUAUUAAAUUGUGUCGUGAACGAGACUCAGCUCUCGAGUGCAAGGAGCUAACUAACAAAUAGUUAUGGUUGGACUUACAUAUUUCAUUUUGUCAUUUUAUUUUACAUUUUUCAUCAUUUAUGGUUUAACAGCCUUAUUUAUAUUUGAAUUCAGUUCGCUGUUUAAAUUUUGUAAAUCAUGAAAUAGUGCUCCCAAAAAUAUGUAACUCUAUUAAUAAUGAAUUAAUACGCCGUUCAUACACAAACAAUUUGCCGAUUCCACAUUGCUUAUUUUAUGUGCUUUAUGUGGUAAUUUAAGAGUUUUUCAAUUUUAAAAUUUAUGGAGCUAAUUUCUGAAUAUAAAUAAAUUCGCCGACGUAUAAGUUUACUUUUAUUUAUUUUAUUAAAUUAUUUUAAAGUGUUUGAGCUUAAUUCUAAAAUUCUAAUAAUAAUUCUAAAAAUAGAGGUGUUGUAGAGGAGGGAGAAAUAUUUGACAAAGAGAAAUAGUAGGCUGUAAAAAAGUGAAAGUAUAAGGAGAAGAGCAAGAAAGUAUUAGGAGAGUACGCAUACAUACAUAUGUAUACGUGCGUACUAGCAACUUUGUUGCGCAAAAUAAUGUAAGAGUUCGUUUUUAAAGCGGAAUGCCUUCAGCUGGUUUUGAUCUUUUGUGGCAGAGCGUGCCAAAGACGAAUAGCAAAAGCGAGGAACUGAGAUUGAAUUCAAGUAGAAAAUUUAAAUUUGUUUGCAAUUUUUUACAAACAAUAACACAAAUUCGAACACAAGGCGAUAGCCAAAGAUAUACAAGUAAUUGAUUGCUGCUACAUAAACAUAAAAAAAUUUUUUUAAUUCAUUCACUCUGAACGUAUACUGUAAAGCUUAAGUGACUUUUGUAUAUAAAACUAAAUAUUUUUACUUAAAAAAUUUUCUACUCGAAAAUUCAUGGCAUAACUAAAUAUUGUAUACUAAAAAGCCAAUUCAGAAACAAAAGUUUAGGCCUAGCAAUUUUUCACAAACAGUUCAGAACAUAAUUAGUGAAAUACGCCACGUGUUGUAAUUGAGUCUACGUUUAAGUUACAAGUAAAAUUUAGGACAUGCAAAAAUAUUCGGUGUUUUAAAUACUACUAAAAACAAAAACAAAAACGAUGAAAAAUAAGGCAAACAGUGUGUGUAAGUCAAGUGGUAAAAAUUGAGUAAAUAAAAAAUACAACAAAAACAAAGUAAGCAUUAUUAUAAUUAAAAUAGUACAAAAUAAUGGAAUAAGUAACGGCAUUUGAAUUUUUCAAAAACAACAAAAAAAGUAGCAUUUUUUUCGUCUUUCUAAUUGAAAGAAAAAUCAGAGAGAGAGAGAGAGAGAGAGGAGAGAAUUUUGAGUUGAGCGCUAAAGUCACACGGUAAAAAUUAUGAGAUGGCAGAAAGAACCGCUACAAAAUAGUGAGAGAAAAAUAUUGAACACAAAAACUUUUUGGAAUAUGACAAGUACAAAAUUUCAGGUAAUAUUUGCUUAUAGCAAAAAACAAAAAAAAAAACAACAACAAAAGAAUGAAAACAAGAAAACAUAAACAAAAAAUAGCGGAAUAUAAAUUAAAAUAAUUACGAAAUAAGUAAAAUUUUGCGUAAGCGCAUCUAAGACAAAAUUGUACAAAUUUUUUGGCUAAAAUAAAAUAAUGAAAUUUUUUUUAAGAAAUUGCAAACAGUGUGACGUUAGUGUGAGAUUUUGAAUAAAUUAAUAUUAGAUAAAGAAAAACAUAAGUUAAAUUUAAGCAAAUUUAAAUUGAGUUGACUUUAGUUCGAGUUGAUUUGACAGUUUAGCAUAAAAAGUACAAUAUUUGUUCUAAUUAUUUUAUAUUUCCAUUUACUUUUUUGCACUUGAGUUACACAUGGCUGAAUGAUAAAUUUUUAAAUGUAAUAAAUCGAAAGUUCUGAACUGCUGCGAAAAAUCACAAAAUUUACAUGUAAAAAACGGGAUUGUACAGUAUAGCUGAAAAGUUUUCGUAUAUGUUUCUGGAAAAGAAGAAAAAUGAAAAAUUAAAUACUGAGGAGCAAAUUGUAAAAAUAAUUAUUAUAUAAUUUUUUUCAUUGUAAUAUAAAAUAAAAGCUAACACAUGCAUUCACACAUACAUUCAUUCGGAGAUAUGCACAUACAUCAGUUUCUAAUCAUAAAACUACUGUUAUAAGCGAAAAAAUAUAUUAUAUAUGAAAAUAUAUAUACCACAAACUCAGGGCAUUCGAAGAGACUCACUGCAAGACGAAGCAACAACAUAUUGCAUUUACAGUGUAUAAUAAAAUACGAAAAAAUGGAUUAGGUAAUGGCAAACAUUUUUUUUAAAUACGUACACACAAACAUGUUUUUUUAAUACAUACAUACAUACAUACGCACUGGGAAGAAAAUAUAAUAUUACAAAAAACAAAAAAAUGGAAAAGGUAAAUUUUAAAUUUAUUACGCUUCAAGCGAAACAUUUUACGAUUUUUCACACACAAUUCUCACAAAAUUGUCGUUAACAUUUAAACAAAGCACUCCCUUGCAUUCAUUUUGCAGUUUGUACCGCAUGGAAGUGGUGGCAAUUGAGCGAAGCGAGUAGCCGGUGGAAAGUUGAUUUAGUUAAUUUUCAGAAUUAUUUUAUGGUGAAAAUUGCUGCUUUAAAAUUUACCGUGAAGGUAAAACCAUGUUUUUUUUGUGCCUAAAAUAAUAACUGUACAUUUUUUUUUAUCAGAGUGAGGAAUAAACGACUGGCUACUCAGUUCACAGCUCAAAUUCUUACAUACAUACGCAUUUACGCCAUUCAUAUUUGCUAUUAGUUUUCAUUAAAUGCUAAUUUUUUCGGAUUAAAAGCGGCAUCAAAACGUUUUUGAGACUUCUUUGAGACUUGUAAAAGUAAAAAGAGCUUAAUAAUUUCUUGAGUAAAAUCAAAUUUUGUAAUCUGCUCAAUAUUAACAACUUUUAUUUGCCAUCUUUCUAUUAAUAUUUACUAAUUACCUAACUUUAAUGUGACGUAAAAUAAUUGCAUAUUCUUCCAUCUACAACCGAUACUGGCUACUUACAUUUGUAUACGAAAUUAAACACAUACAAACAUGCAUACAUAAAACUACAUUUCAUGAGAAAGCGUCGGAGUUUGUAAAUUUUAUAUGAACCGAAUUCAAUUAAGCACUCACUAAUAAAUUCAUAUUUCAAAAUGUUUGCGAGCAUUAAAUUUUAUACCAAACCUCCUGGAACACCCAAUAAUAAAUCUGUAGUUCGAAAGUAAUUGCUAAGAUAAAAGUAUUUAUGUAUGUAAUUAAACAGUGUAU